rnacentral:lncRNA from 1 species
AGCUUGACUAAAGUAAAAACUAACCCUAUUCUCCAGUCGGGACCUCUGAUUUCAAGAAAACUACACAUGAUAACUUAAGAGAACUAAAAAUUGACCCCUCUUUUUUUUCAAUAUUCAGACCCCCCCCCCCCCCCUUUUUUAAAAUUAUUAUCCUAGGAGAAAAUUCAUCAGACUAAGUUUUCUAUCUUAGAAGAAAAAUUCAUCAGACUAAGAUUUUGAUCCUAGGAGAUGUUCAUCAGACUAGGUCUUCUAUCUUAGGAGAAAAAUUCAUCAGACUAAGAUUUUGAUCCUAGGAGAAAGUUCAUCAGACUAGGGCUUUUUAUCUUAGGAGAAAUAUUCAUCAGACUAAGAUUUCUAUCCUAGGAGAAAAUUCAUCAGACUAGGUUUUCUUAUCUUAGGAGAAAAAUUCCGCAGACUAAGACGUUUGUCCUAGGAGAAAGAUUCAUCAGACUAGAUUUUUUUUCUUUGGUUAUCUUAGGAAAAAUAUUCGUCAGACUAAGAUGUUUAUCCUAGGAGAAAGAUUCAUCAGACUAAGAUUUUGAUCAUAGGAGAAAGUUCAUCAGACUAGGUUUCUUAUCUUAGGAGAAAAAUUCAUCAGACAAAGAUGUUUAUCCUAGGAGAAAGAUUCAUCAGACUAGGUUUUCUAUCUUAGGAGAAAGAUUCAUCAGACUAAGAUUUUGAUCCUAGGAGAAAGUUCAUCAGACUAGGUUUCUUAUCUUAGGAGAAAAAUUCAUCAGACUAAGGCGUUUAUCCUAGGAGAAAGUUCAUCAGACUAUGUCUUCUAUCUUAGGAGAAAGAUUCAUCAGAC